rnacentral:rRNA from 1 species
UACGUAGGGGGCAAGCGCUGUCCGGAUUUACUGGGCGUAAAGCGCGCGUAGGCGGAACGAUCAGUCCGGUCUGAAAGCCCCCGGCUCAACCGGGGAGGGUGGCUGGAAACUGUCGUUCUUGAGGGCGAGAGAGGAGGGUGGAAUUCCUGGUGUAGCGGUGAAAUGCGUAGAGAUCAGGAGGAACACCCGUGGCGAAGGCGGCCCUCUGGCUCGACCCUGACGCUGAGGCGCGAAAGCGUGGGGAGCGAACGGG